GGAUUAGAUACCCUGGUAGUCCACGCCGUAAACGAUGUAUGCUUGGUGUUCCUACUAUGUAGGAGUGCCGGAGGAAAUCCGUUAAGCAUACCACCUGGGAAGUACGAUCGCAAGGUUGAAACUCAAAGGAAUUGACGGGGGCCCGCACAAGCGGUGGAUUAUGUGGUUUAAUUCGAUGCAACGCGAAGAACCUUACCAGGGCUUGAACUGUAGUGGAUCGCUCCUGAAAGGGAGUUUUUCUUCGGAACUGCUAUAGAGGUGCUGCAUGGCUGUCGUCAGCUCGUGCCG
rnacentral:rRNA from 1 species